AUUGAACGCUGGCGGCAGGCCUAACACAUGCAAGUCGAACGAGUGGCGGACGGGUGAGUAAUGUCUGGGAAACUGCCUGAUGGAGGGGGAUAACUACUGGAACCGGUAGCUACUACCGCAUACCAGAGGAUGUGCCCAGAUGGGCGUGGCUAGUAGGUGGGGUAAAGGCUCACCUAGGCGACGAUCCCUAGCCGGUCUGAGAGGAUGACCAGCCACACUGGAACUGAGACACGGUCCAGACUCCUACGGGAGUCAGCAGUGGGGAAUAUUGCACAAUGGGCGAAAGCCUGAUGCAGCCAUGCCGCGUGUAUGAAGAAGGCCUUCGGGUUGUAAAGUACUUUCAGCGGGGAGGCGUUACCCGCAGAAGAAGCACCGGCUAACUCCGUGCCAGCCGCCGCGGUAAUAC
rnacentral:rRNA from 1 species